GGGCCGGUAGUUCAGCUUGGUAUACAUUUGGCCAAAGAACGUCCGGUUCGCAACCGGAAGGUCGCGGGUUCAAAUCCCGCCCGGUCCACCA
rnacentral:tRNA from 1 species